rnacentral:rRNA from 1 species
CCCGCUGAACUUAAGCAUAUCAAUAAGCGGAGGAAAAGAAACUAACAAGGAUUCCCCUAGUAACUGCGAGUGAAGCGGGAAGAGCUCAAAUUUAAAAUCUGGCGUGCCUCUGGUCGUCCGAAUUGUAGUCUGGAGAAGCGUUUUCCGUGUCGGACCGUGUAUAAGUCUCUUGGAACAGGGCGUCAUAGAGGGUGAGAAUCCCGUCUUUGACACGGACUACCGAUGCUUUGUGAUGCGCUCUCAAAGAGUCGAGUUGUUUGGGAAUGCAGCUCAAAAUGGGUGGUAAAUUCCAUCUAAAGCUAAAUAUAGGCGAGAGACCGAUAGCGAACAGGUACCGUGAGGGAAAGAUGAAAAGCACUUUGGAAAGAGAGUUAAACAGUACGUGAAAUUGCUGAAAGGGAAACGCUUGAAGUCAGUCGUGUCUGCCAGGACUCAGCCUUGCUUCUGCUUGGUGCACUUUCUGGUCGGAUGGGCCAACAUCAAUUUUGACCGUCGGAGAAAGGCUUUGGGAAUGUGGCACUUUCGGGUGUGUUAUAGCCCUUUGUCGUAUACGACGGUUGGGAUUGAGGACUGCAGCACGCCUUUAUGGCCGGGGUUCGCCCACGUACGUGCUUAGGAUGUUGGCAUAAUGGCUUUAAGCGACCCGUCUUGAAACACGG